rnacentral:rRNA from 1 species
AUUGAACGCUGGCGGCAUGCCUUACACAUGCAAGUCGAACGGUAACGGGCCUUCGGGUGCCGACGAGUGGCGAACGGGUGAGUAAUGCAUCGGAACGUACCUUUCAGUGGGGAUAACGUAGCGAAAGUUACGCUAAUACCGCAUAUUCUGUGAGCAGGAAAGCAGGGGAUCGCAAGACCUUGCGCUGAUUGAGCGGCCGAUGUCAGAUUAGCUAGUUGGUGAGGUAAAGGCUCACCAAGGCACGAUCUGUAGCGGGUCUGAGAGGAUGAUCCGCACACUGGAACUGAGACACGGUCCAGACUCCUACGGGAGGCAGCAGUGGGGAAUUUUGGACAAUGGGGCAACCCUGAUCCAGCCAU